rnacentral:ribozyme from 1 species
GUUCCCGCCAUAGUUCUGUAGAUUCUUUACUCGAAGCAUUCCAUUCCGCUGCAAGCAAGGCCGACCUGACAGCUUACUUCGGUUGCUU